rnacentral:lncRNA from 1 species
GGUAAAUACCAUAGGCCUUAAAAAGUUCAAAUUAGACCCAGCCCAAUUAAUUUUCUCUCCUCCAAGAACCAAACUUUUUCUUAGCAGGCAGCAGCUGACUUUCACUAAUUCACUUAACACAAAUCGUAUCUCACUCUCAGUCGAAUCAGGAAAACCCACCAUUUUCACACCUUUUUACUGUCCAUUUCUCUUCCACCACACCAAUACCCAGACCCAGGUUUGCUUUCUUCCAAUUUUCCUUUCGUUUUUUUUUCCAAUUUCUUCAAUGGGUCUUUAUUGAAUCUCUAGUUCUAGAAAUUGAUCAUUAACUUUGAUGUUUAGUAACUAGUAGAACUUUUUAGUGGUAAUGAUUUGCAAGUGUUUAGUUUAUUUUGGCAUUUUCUUUAUCUUUUUAAUCAUGUCCUUUCUUUCUUUUUUAAUUGAUAUUUCUGGCAGAUAUAUUUUAGGGUUUUGUUUUAUUUUGUUUAUUUCUUUUUAUUUCAAUGUGUGUAAGAAUGUGUGAGGAGUUGUCAAUUUCUUUCUGGGUUUUGCUUUCUUUUAUGUUAGUAAUAAUGUCUCCUUUUGUGCUUUUCUUUCAUUAUUAUUUUCAAGAAAAAUCUCAUUUUCUCUGUUAUUUUCUUCUGGGAAAAGAAAAUGUGACUUCAUCCUUGAACUCCAAAAGCGUGUUUAUAACUAUCUCUCACUUCCUUUCCACCUUUUACUCGGUAAAUGAAGAAGAAUCGAGUUUCCAUCCCUUCUUUCUCAAAUUUUUAGCUGCUCAUGUACUUGGGACUUAACUUGGAACACUGUUUUCAACUGUGUUUUAAGCUUACUUCUCUUUUAUAACUUGCUUUUCAUUUGAACAGCUUUUUUCCAUCUCAGCUUAGAUUACACGAGGGUGAACAAUGCCUACCCAGUUUUUAGUUUUCUCUAAGAAAACAUUAUAUAUAUAUGUGUGUGUGUGUGUGUGUUUAAAUACAUAUUAAAUGAGAUAUUUCCUUGAAACCUUGCAUGUCUUCAAUUAUGGGAAUCUGAGAUGUAUUCUACAAAACAAAGUAUGAGAAGAUAUUUAUGUAUUCUUCAAUUAAGGGUUUUGAAGGUUAUGGAGUUCCUCAAAUCACUGGUGGUAUGGAAGAAGACAAGUACCCUCUGAAACAAAAAAUAUAGAGAAGAAGAAAAUUUGUGUGAUACAAACGUAGAAUAAGAUAGCCUAAGCUAUUUAUGUUUUUCUUAGUUAAAACACGAAUGGGAAUUGCACAGAGGAACUCCAUUAGUCUCCAAGACUGGUGCCUAAACUGUUUCUUUUCAAUGCUGCCAUGUCUUUAAGUGUAUAUUCCUCCUUCACGUAUCUUUCUGAUUGGAGCUAAAUCAUGUUUCCCCUUCAGUUUUGGUCAGUCCUUCACCAAUGGAAAACUCUAAAUAUUUGUUUUUUCAUUCUGUUCUUCUUUGAGAAAUAAUCAGCUGUUUCUUCGGCCUAUGUAAUGUUUGUUUUUAUGUUUUUAAUUAUGUAGUGAUUUAAAAAUUUAUGUAAUAUUUUUAAUUAUGUAGUAAUUCAAUUCGGAUAAUUUAG